rnacentral:snoRNA from 1 species
AUGUUCAAGUAAGGCCAUGCCUUUAUGUCCUUGAGUUCUAAGGAGACAAAAACCAAAGUCUGGUGGAUGAAGCACGGCUAUGCGACCAGAGCGUGCGUAGUGGCUUCGUCGGCCUCACGGGGCCGCCGGUUGCGGCGGAGGAUCGUUCUCAACCCCUGGAAUCAGAGUUUUGAGGUGGUUGCAUGGCGUUCUGACAAAAA